UUUCAGUUGAGAGUGACCAGGAAGCAUCCUACACAGCCCAAGCUGUUUGAGAAGGGAGAGAACUCGACAUGUACAGAUUCCAUUAUACCAAUUAGCAAUAAACAAAUUUCGUGACAAAGUAUAUACUUCGCUAUAUUGUAAUUUGUCUUAAAGAAUCUUUUUAUGUAUUUUAGUGAAAUGUAAUUUGAUUUUCGAGCCUGCUGACAUUUAAUUGAAAGGAUGCUAAACUAUCACCUCAGUCCCGGCAAUCUAAUUAAAUGUUUGUUAAUAUGUUGUGUAGGACUAAGUGCGUCCGGUAAUGGCGGACAUAAUACGUUGUUUAAAAGCUGCUUCAUUUCAGGAAUAUUAAGUCACGAAACAUUUAGAAUGACAGACGAAAUGUGUUUGGUUCUGAUGAUGUAUUGAUUAUGCACACGAGGAAUGUAAUUAUUAUUUAAGGAGAAACUUUGUUUUUUUUCUUUUUUCCAUUUUAAUCAUUUGUGUUUUUGUUUUGUAAACUUAAGUUCAAUUUAUUUCGGAUUCAUUGAAGGUUAUACUGUCGGCUGCCUGAAUGAGAGAGAAAGUAUAACAAACUUGCUUUCAUCUUUAAAUAAUUUAUAUACAUCAUUGACAAAUAGAGAGGAACUGAACUUUUUGAGUUUCUAAAACCUAUGUUUGAUAGAAAUUCCAAUAUAUCUUUAUAUAUAUAAUAUAUUAGAAGACAAGACAAGCAAAGUAUAGAAUUUAAGAUUAGUUAUUUCAUUCAAACAAAUUCAUUGGUCCGUUUAUUUUUCGGUGUUUUGUGAUUGGUAAAGAACAUUGAAAGUCAGAUAUUAUUUUGUGAUACACUACUAUGAUGGAGAUUUAUUAUAUCAUAUAAAUAUAUAUAUAGCAGAUUUAAAAAGUAUUUUCAAGGAAAAUAAAAUGCUGA
rnacentral:lncRNA from 1 species